rnacentral:rRNA from 1 species
CAGCAGCCGCGGUAAUACGGGGGGGGCAAGCGUUGUUCGGAAUUACUGGGCGUAAAGGGCUCGUAGGCGGCCAACUAAGUCAGACGUGAAAUCCCCAGGCUCAACCUGGGAACUGCGUCUGAUACUGGUUGGCUUGAAUCCGGGAGAGGGAUGCAGAAUUCCAGGUGUAGCGGUGAAAUGCGUAGAUAUCUGGAGGAAUACCGGUGGCGAAGGCGGCAUCCUGGACCGGCGUUGACGCUGAGGAGCGAAAGCCAGGGGAGCAAACGGGAUUAGAUACCCCGGUAGUCCUGGCCCUAAACGAUGAAUGCUUGGUGUAACGGGUAUCGAUCCCUGUUGUGCCGAAGCUAACGCAUUAAGCAUUCCGCCUGGGGAGUACGGUCGCAAGGCUGAAACUCAAAUGAAUUGACGG